UUUUUUUGUUUUUUUUGGUAGUUCCUACAUCUGAUAACAUUUUCUUUUGUUUCAUUCAUAUUGCAAAAUUGGUUAUUCUUUUCUGCAGUCUUUUACUAGAGUAUCUCAAAUAAGUUUUCAUUUAAAAAGAAAUGGCAACACAGAGAAUAAUUUUCUCAUAAAAUAUGUAUAAUAUGGAUAUAAGCUUUUUUCUGGUAUCAUGUUUGGAAUUAGAUUUAGUUUGAAAGGUGCUCUACGUUUAUUAUUACUCCUACAGUAAAAAUCAUGAUUAGAAAGCAGAAACAGAAACUAUGUCUCUAAUGAAUACCAGACCUUUGGAGGACUAUAAUCUCUUCUAAUUUACACAUAAGUAGGGAAACUUAAUUAUAAUCUAAAACAAUGUGUUACUCUACACCUCUGUAGGUCAUUUUAGACAACUCUGAAUUUCCAUUAUAUAUUAAAAAUAGAUUAGAGUCAGCUUUUUCUUUAAUUACACACUAAAUUUUUAUGCAAUAAGAAAGGAGCACACAGUAGUUUGCUGUCUUACUUUAAACUUUUAGUGGAAAUAUACUGGAGUUUUAUUAUUUGAAUAUGUUGCUACAUGGAAGAAGAACUUGUAGACAGUAAAGCAUGAUAACAUACCCACUUUUUAAAGAGAAAUAGGAAGAGUGUUUCUUUGAAGAGGAGACUGAGAAGAUCCUUGCAAACAUCUGUUCCAGUGUGAGAUAAGGGUUUUAGCAGUGCAUAUCUUUAAGUGAUGCAGAUAUUUAGGUUUUUAAUAUUCUUUGUCACACUUUUGAAAUUUCUUAAGCUUCCGCAGCUUCUGUAAAGGGGAAAAAAAUGAUACCUAACUAAUCUACAUUAAAAUAAGUUAUAGCGAUGUUUAUGUUUCUAAGCUAGCUGCAUGGCAAUUUUCAAAGGGGCUUGGGAUAAAAAGUAGUUGGAUUUUAUUGCCAUUGAAAACUUGAAAUUAAUUUGUUUGCAACUAUAUGUAUUUUAUCAUGUUUUCACCUUUGCAGUCUGUCUAUUUUCAUGAGAUAAAUGGCUUUUUCCAAAGGUUUCCAUUCACUCCUUGCUUAUUUGCUGUCAUCUAAUUAAUAUUUAUUCCAUGUGUAACUUCUAUGCAGUUGUUCUGUUCUUUAGAAUCUAAUGAAGGGUUAUCUAGACCAAAAAUGUUGUCAUCUGUCUUUAAGAGGGUAGCAUUUUGUCACUUGGAUACAGACCCAGUGGGUAUGGACGCUGAACUGAUAGCUAUUCUCAAUACUUAAAAAAAAAAAAAAAAAAAAGGUUCAGUUGAGGGAGUUUGUUUCACGCGCCGUGGCUGUCAGGAUGGCUUUCUGGAAGAAGCAAGUUACAGGGAAGUUCUCCAGGGAGCUGUUUCCUCUCGUUUCUGUGGGCCUGUCAGCUCUUCCCCCUGAGGUGAUUUUAAUAUAUAUUUAUACUUAUUGCUGCUGAAACAAAAAAAAAAUGUAGAAGUCAGUGGUGGUGAUAAUACUUUCCCUCUCUUUCUCCUAAUUCAUUUAGUUAAUUUUAUCUUACCAAAAAAUCAAGAGGAGGGCAACUCGAUCCUAUGUGGGCCUCCAGGAGGACAAGUAGAGUCUCAGGUGCCAUUUCCUGCAGGAAUCCGCAUCCAUUUGGGGUGAAACAUCUAAGGGAACCGUGUCAUCCUCAAACCGAGGAAGGCCCCGACAGGCUAGUUGUGGGAAAGGAGAGGGGUCUUCUGUGUCAGGGCACCUGCAAGGGCUCCUGUAUAUCCCCGUCUAGCACAGAAAGAGAAAGAAAAUCUUGGGGCCCAGCAGUCAUGACUUCUUUCUGCAGCAUCUUUGGGUAUGUGCCUCGGUCUACACAUCUGCCUGUGUCUAUUUUCCAUGACAGCUUCCACUUGUGUUUUCUUGAAUACUGACAUCCUCUGUACCAGACCCUGGGGUCCUUGAAAAAGGAAAGGGAACUCAGACAGUUGUUGACUCCACCACGUUUAGUCUAGUAUGGGCUCAGAGAUGGAAGCACCGACUGUAGUAUGUGAAACAAAAGGAUGUUGAAUCCCUGUACUCUUGAUAGGCCAAGAGAAAAUGUUUAUUUUUUAUACGUAAACAACCCUCUAUGGAAAAUUUAAGAUGUCCAUGGAACACAACACUUGUGCAAUGGCUUUCGAACACUUCUGAGUACUUCCACAUGGCAACUAUCUGGUGCUGCAUGGCAUUUUACCUCUGGGAAUGAGAGGUCCAUGCUGCCUUUACCAUAUGCCUACUUAGGAUCUUAGAAAGCUCUGGGGAGAAGCAGGAGCAGGUCUCAUAUUCUGCUUAAAUAUUACUAAGAAACACAACCUUAGUCAAGAUGCUUCUAGGAUAGCCAUGGGGGGGCAUGAUGAUUUUUAAUUAAAAACUUAUGUUUUAGUUUCACAGCAAGAUUGAGGGGAAAGUAUGGAGAUUUCCCAUUAACUACUGCCCCCCCCCACAUGCAAAGCCUCCCCCACUAUCAACAUCCCCCACUGGAGCAGCAGUUUGUUGCACCAGCACUGACACAUCAUGAUCACCUAGAGUCUAUAGUUUACGUUAUGGUUCGCUCUUGGUGUUGUACAUUCUUUGGGUUUGGAAAAAUGGAUCGUGGCAUGUUCCUUCACGAUGGUACCAUCCAGAAUAUUUCCACUGCCCUAAAAAUCCUCUGUGCUCCGUAUGUUCACCCCUCCCUCCCCAAACCUCUGGCAACCACUGACCUUUUUACUGUCUCCAUAGUUUUAACCGUUCCACAGUAUCAUAUAAUUGCAAUCAUAGAGUACACAGCUUUUUCAGAUGGCUUCUUUCAUUUAUUAACAUCCUUUAAAGUUCUUGAAUGUAGUUUCACAACUUGAUGGCUUAUUUCUUUUACUGCCAAAUAAUAUAUUCCAUGAUAUGAUGUAACACAACUUAUUUUUACAUUCACCUACCGAGGGAUGUCGUAGUUGCUUCCAAGUUUUAGCAGUUAUGAAAAGUUGGUAUGAAUAUUUUUUGUGCAGAUUUCGUGUGGACACAAGUUUUCAACUCCAUUGACAAAAUUCCAGGAGUGUGAUGAUUGGAU
rnacentral:lncRNA from 1 species